GGACUGGUGACUAGAGCAAGCGGAAAACACACGAUCCCAUUUCGAACUCGACCGUUAAGACGCUUAGCGCUGAUGAUAUUUCGUCUUAAGGCGUGAAAAAGUAGGUCGUUGCCAGUCU
rnacentral:rRNA from 1 species